AUGGUUGCCACUGACAACUACUGUUUUAGAGCAGUGAGGAAGAACUGAUUGCAGGGGUUUAACCUGAGGCAGGCCAUACAACGAAGAUAGUCAUGAUAUCACAUCCAUACAAGCCUCCAGUAAUCCCAACAUUGGCCUGCAUCACCAAGGUCCUGCACAGGCUGGAGGAAGAGGAGGAGGGUGGCUGGAGUCCAGG